rnacentral:rRNA from 1 species
CAUUCACGGAGAGUUUGAUCCUGGCUCAGGACGAACGCUGGCGGCGUGCUUAACACAUGCAAGUCGAACGAUGAAGCCCUUCGGGGUGGAUUAGUGGCGAACGGGUGAGUAACACGUGGGCAAUCUGCCCUGCACUCUGGGACAAGCCCUGGAAACGGGGUCUAAUACCGGAUAUGACCGUCCAUUGCAUGGUGGAUGGUGUAAAGCUCCGGCGGUGCAGGAUGAGCCCGCGGCCUAUCAGCUAGUUGGUGAGGUAGUGGCUCACCAAGGCGACGACGGGUAGCCGGCCUGAGAGGGCGACCGGCCACACUGGGACUGAGACACGGCCCAGACUCCUACGGGAGGCAGCAGUGGGGA